rnacentral:rRNA from 1 species
UACGUAGCAGCAAGCGUUGUUCGGAAUUACUGGGCGUAAAGAGUGUGUAGGCGGUGCUCCAAGUCUGGUGUGAAAUCUCCCGGCUUAACUGGGAGGGUGCAUUAGAAACUGGAAUGCUAGAGGAUGGGAGAGGUAAGCGGAAUUCCUGGUGUAGCGGUGAAAUGCGUAGAUAUCAGGAGGAACACCUGUGGUGUAGACAGCUUACUGGACCAUUCUGACGCUGAGACACGAAAGCGUGGGUAGCAAACAGG